ensembl:miRNA microRNA let-7g
CCUUUUGCCUGAUUCCAGGCUGAGGUAGUAGUUUGUACAGUUUGAGGGUCUAUGAUACCACCCGGUACAGGAGAUAACUGUACAGGCCACUGCCUUGCCAGGAACAGCGCG